AUGUUUGGGACUAACAUUUUGAUCCAGUGCCAGUGCCAGUUCCUGUUUGUUGCAUGUUUAUGUUUCGCAGAAACCCCAUAUCAAACGGAAUCCAAACGGGAUAAAAAUAGAUGGAGAAUAUUUUUGGAAUAUUUGGAGAAUAUGGGAAGAAGAAUCAACGCGAGACGGUGCCCGAGGGGGGCACGAGGCAGGGGGUGCGCCUGCCCCCCUCGUGGGCCCCCCGUAAGGCGGUUGCUGCUCUUCUUUGGCCACAAGAAAGCUAAUUUUCAGAAAAAAAAAUCUCGGCGAAGGUUUCAAUCCAAUCGGAGUUACCGAUCUCCAUAUAUAUACGAAACGAUGAAAGGGCAGAAUACCAGAACGCAGAAACAGAGAGACAGAUCCAAUCUCGGAGGGGCUUUCGCCCCUCCCAUGCCAUGGAGGCCAAGGACCAGAGGGGAAACCCUUCUCCCAUCUAGGGAGGAGGUCAAGGAAGAAGAAGAAUAA
rnacentral:rRNA from 1 species